rnacentral:SRP_RNA from 1 species
UGAUAGGCUAGGUGGCAGGUUAGCCCUCUGCUGUACCGUAAAUGGGCUUCACGGCGGACUGACGCUAGAACCAGGUACUAGAUUUGGUUAUUGGUCUUGGCUUGGACUAUGAGGAUUUGUCCUGUAGGGUCUGUAUUUAUGUGAAUCUGGUCAGGUUGGGAACAAAGCAGCCAUAAUCAUUUUUAUUGGCGCUUACAGUCAACAGAUUUAAGAAAGAGUUAAGGUAGCUGAUGGUUAAAACUUUUAUCGAACUCUAGUGGCCUAUCA